rnacentral:rRNA from 1 species
UACAGAGGGUGCGAGCGUUGUCCGGAAUCACUGGGCGUAAAGGGCGCGUAGGCGGCUUGAUAAGGUUGCGGUGAAAGCCGGGCUCGAACCCGGGUCGCCGUGGCAACUGUCGAGCUGGAGCACUGGUAGAGGCAGGUGGAAUUCCGGGUGUAGGCGGUAGGAAUGCGUAGAGAUCCGGAAGAACACCGGUGGCGAAGGCGGC